AGUGAACGCUGGCGGCAGGCCUAACACAUGCAAGUCGAACGGCAGCACAAGAGAGCUUGCUCUCUGGGUGGCGAGUGGCGGACGGGUGAGGCAUGCAUCGGAAUCUGCCCAUUUGUGGGGGAUAACCUCGGGAAACCGGGACUAAUACCGCAUACGACCUACGGGUGAAAGCAGGGGAUCUUCGGACCCUGCGCAGAUGGAUGAGCCGAUGCCGGAUUAGCUAGUUGGAGGGGUAAAGGCCCACCAAGGCGACGAUCCGUAGCUGGUCUGAGAGGAUGAUCAGCCACACUGGGACGGAGACACGGCCCAGACUCCUACGGGAGGCAGCAGUGGGGAAUAUUGGACAAUGGGCGCAAGCCUGAUCCAGCCAUGCCGCGUGUGUGAAGAAGGCCUUCGGGUUGUAAAGCACUUUUGUUGGGAAAGAAAAGCAGCCGGUUAAUACCCGGUUGUCAUGACGGUACCCAAAGAAUAAGCACCGGCUAACUUCGUG
rnacentral:rRNA from 1 species